AAAUAUUUCCUCCCGCCCCACUUCAUUUCCCAAAAGCCUCCGGCUCUAUAUUGGUCAUCAUGAGUUCAUUUUCGGUGGCAGGGAGAUUUUCCUGCGGACACGACGUCAAUCAGAAAGCAAACAAACAGCGGAGAUUACCUGAGCGGUCAGGAGAACUGAGUCACUGAACUAAAGGAGGACAUUACACACGACUGGCCACCAGAGGGCAGCGGUGUUCAUGAAGAGAGAACGCAGCGGUUAUGUUUUACAUGCUGGCGAUAGAACACAGGAUGAGGAGGAAACAAUAUGGCCUGUGUUUCAUCUUUAGUCUUAGGUCAGUCCACGCUCCGGGGCAUGGAGUGUGUCAGCGUUUGAGUCGCGGUGGUAAAUAUGUCCUCGGCUGCCAGCGGGGGGGAGAUGUGUUUCGGUGGAGAGACGCGGCAGCGCAUGGUAAUGGGAGAGAGCGCCUCUGUCCAAUGUAAAGCGGUUUGUUUAGCCGGCGGCGUGUAUACAUUGUCGGCUGCCAAGGGGUCCGCUUGCCCCUCGAGGAGGGGGGGAGCCAGGAUCGUCUCCGCAGAAACAGGAAGCGAUCUCCCUGGCUCUCGUUGCUCCUGGGCGACCAUAAAUGGGCAUGGUGAUGCGUGAUGGAUGAAGGGGGCGGGGCUUCUCUCUGUGGUGUCAGUGGAGGGGCUCCUGGACUUUCUCCGCUCCGUUCCCAGCUCACACAAUGCGAGAGGGGGAAGCCUCCGCUUCUGCGGGUGGCUGUGAAGAUGCACUGAUGGUGGAACUCUGGGCAGAUGCCCAUCCCGAAGUAUUCUUUUGUUUAUUCAUAGAUUUGUGUUGUAAUUUAUUCCCCUUUUUUGUGCUCAGACGACAAAGAAAUGCAAAACUGAACUCUUUUAAAGUCUUUCCGAUCUUCAUCACGCUAUCUUUGAAUGAAUUUAUGCCACCGAUAAACAUCGACUGAGUGUCACCUUAUGUGCCAACAAGCCAACGGCGAAUAUCGGAAGAGCACGAUAAAUCAGUGCAUCGCUCCGAUACCUUCCGGCUAAAACCCCUCCCCCCCCCUGCUGUGUUUUGAUGAUGUUGGACCCACUGCCCGUCGCCAUAGCAACCAGACCCAACAGCAGCAUCACCACCUCCACCUGACCUCAACCCCCCACACACACACCCGUCUCCUCCCAUUCCAUCCCUAACGACCACGUCACCCACCAGCCAAAACAGGUUACGGAGCCUUGAUUUACCGUCCCUCUCUAUAAGAUUUUAUGGCUGAGAUUAAUCUCUGACCGCGAGG
ensembl:lncRNA